rnacentral:rRNA from 2 species
CGUAUCACCCAAGACAACUUUACGGAGUUGACGAUUGACGGAGCGAAGCGACGUCAAAGCGUUCAUUAAAGUCGAGUUGGCUUAGGGAUACGUUCGUUGGGUAGGGGAGCGUUCUGUAAGCCUGUGAAGGUGUGUCGUGAGGCAUGCUGGAGGUAUCAGAAGUGCGAAUGCUGACAUAAGUAACGAUAAAGCGGGUGAAAAGCCCGCUCGCCGGAAGACCAAGGGUUCCUGUCCAACGUUAAUCGGGGCAGGGUGAGUCGACCCCUAAGGCGAGGCCGAAAGGCGUAGUCGAUGGGAAACGGGUUAAUAUUCCCGUACUUGGUGUUACUGCGAAGGGGGGACGGAGAAGGCUAUGUUGGCCGGGCGACGGUUGUCCCGGUUUAAGCGUGUAGGUGUGUGUUCCAGGUAAAUCCGGUUCACUUUAACACUGAGGCGUGACGACGAGGCACUACGGUGCU